UGAGAUAUAACAGUCAAUCAACACAAUUAUUAUGCAGAGAAAGGUUAAAACUUUGCCCCUUUGGCAUAAGCAAAUUAAAAAGGCAACCAAGCUUUAACAGAAAAUUGAUAAGGGUAGAAGAAAUGAAAUAUGAGAUUAUUACAUGUUUCUAUUUGACAUUGUACAGAAGAAACAAGAAUGGAUCUCUGAAAUGUGAACCAGUUCUUUAAAACUUUUAUAGGUUAGUUCUAAACUAGGGUCCAUACUCCAGAGUCCAGACAUCAUUUGACAUCUAAGAAUUUAUUAAACUAAAGAGAGCAUGUCUUGCAAAAUAGCAUAAAGGGCUCAUAAAUCAAUGUUUAAAUUACAUCAAAACGCAAACCACUGUGACAUCUUUUUGACUACUUGGUUACAGUUUGAUCUCCAAAUUUCCUCUGAUCUGGUUUAGUGAAUGGAUCCUGGAAAGUACAAUAAAAGAUGUAGAUUACAAUUACCUAACAAUAUUUAACUCUUAAAAUAACACAGCCAAAUGAUAGUGGAUAAGAGAAACGUAACUCAACCUCAAAACAUCAGUUAUAAACCAUAAACAUUUGAAAAUUUUAAUUUUUACAAAAGGAUUUAACUUGGAAUUUGGUUUUCAAUAGUUUAUUAGUCUUGUUCUGUCUAUCUAGGCAACAUCACAUAGCAGAAUAACUGUAAUUGUUGGUGUUACUGCAAAAUGGAUGGUCCUUGCAUUGGACCUUACUAACCAAGCUAGCAAACACUUUCGAAAGAAAAUGAUACAAUUGAACAGCAUAAAAUAAAAUCAAGAACUAAAUCAAACAAGGUUCUCUUGUAUGGUCUUAAUUCCUAUGUUACUGUCUUCGAAGAAUCCAAAUAUGCAUCCAUUAAGGGAGCAAAUUACUCCAUCCCUUUCAAAAUUGUAAAGCUAUGUAAUGUGAAUACUUCAGCUAAUUAAAGACAUUAAUCAAUGUCGUGCAAGCACUUGAUUUAUCAAUAAAAAUAUAUUAUAACAGCCUAAAGUUGGAGCAGACAGAUGAAUUAUCCAUAAAUCCAUAAGGCAGAAGCAAUGAUAAUCAACAAGACCUAAAAUUUCAGUUUAAAGAGUUUAAAGACUAUGGAUUGACUGUGUAAAACUAUGUUACACCGUUAUUUUGAUGGAAAUUCAUCAUCUUAUCAUGUAAGGGCUGGAAUGAUGAGCAUUCACAUGCAAUGUAGUCAGGUUUGAGAUCCUACGUAGGAUCGGUAGGCUGGUUGAGAAUCAUAAGAUCGGGAUCGUAGCUCGAUUCGUAAGAUCGUACUUAAGGGUAAAAUUGUAACUUCACAUAUAUACAUAUACACAUAAACACAAAAAAAAUAUAAUACAUGAACAAAAUAAACUUAAUUAAUUAAUAUUUCAUAGACAUCAUUCCAAAUGUUCACAAGUUCAUAACAGAAGGUAGCAACAGUAGGGUUACAAAAAAAAAAUGAAAACAGAGGGUUGAAACUUGAGAGUGAAAGAGAUGAGUUCAGAAGGUUUCAGUGAGGACAGAGGUUUGGGUGAAAGAGAUGGUUGAAAGUGAGAGAGGUGAGAACGAAAGUGAGAGAGGAGUGAGAACAAACAUACACUAACCUCCGGCAAGGUUCACGACGGCGACGGCGCCGUCUAGAGCUCAAGUCAAAAAAGCCUCUAGGAUCGUAAGAACCUAUGACCCAGUGCGAGAACCUGACUACAGACUGGUCAAAAAAAGAACCUCCAUGGGCUCUAAGCUCGUUUGGCCUUCACGAACUCGUAGGAUCGUAAGAACCUACGACCCGGUGCGAGAACCUGACUACAUUGUUCACAUGCAUCAACCAAACGUGGAAUUUGCAUUAUCGUUUCCGUGAAAAGGCUAGAGCACUAUCACAGUCAGUCAGUCACAGAGAAUGGUUGGUUAGUAUCAAUUCUUAUCAUGGCGCUCACUUGGUUUUUCUCCAAUACAUAUUCCUUUGGCUUUAGUUUAAACUCAUUGUAUAUUAACAAAAUUCUAGGAUACUGCAAGCUUCUUUGGACACUCUUUUCACUUUGUUUUCCUUUGAUCUUAUUGUAGCUCUUGUGUUUGACAGAAUUUAAAUUUAGUGUUUGACAGGUAGCUAUCAGAAGUGUUGGUGCUAUAGAGCUCAUAAACAGUGUUGUUCUGGUUGAUAGACAAUAUUAUCAAAAUCCAUUUUAUGGUCACUUACUUUUGUCUUGUACUCAUAUCAGCAGAGCUUACAAUACUAUAAUAGUGUCCUGAAUCUUUAAGGAUUUUACGGAAUACCAAUGACCAAAGAUUUCCCCAGUUCCACUUUUCUAUAGAUAAAUUUGAAUGAUCCCUAUCUUCGUGAAAUAUUAUCACUGAAUAAUUAUUGUGUUGCUAGGCCAUCUUGUAUAAUCAAGAUUAAGAACUAAACCAACAUUGGACUCAAGUAGUUAAUGAGCUCCCCUAGGCCGAAUCGUUCGGGAGAACCCGAGUUCGAUUCCUAGUGGGAACAACUCUUGGCCAGGAUUUACUUACCGCGCGGCCGAACUCUGGAUUACCAGGGUCCCCUUCCCCUGGGGAGAAAUGGUUCCCUUGUAUAAUUUUCCAAUUUUACUCUCUUCUAAGAAUCAUAAUCCUAGUAUAUAAUCCAUUAAGAUUAAGAUUUAAGGGAGUAAAUUACUCAUUCCCUUACAAAAUAUUAAAGCUAUGUUAAUACUUCGAUUAGGACAUUAAUCAACUUCGUGUAACCACUUAAUUAAUACACAUUUCAAAGAGAAUUAGGGAACAAUCAAACAAAUGAAUUUGCAAACAACCCAAUCAACAUGAUCUCCAAAUAACAACGCAAAAAGAUCAUUAAAUUCAACCCACCAUAACCCCAAAUGAAAUUGAUUAAAUCAUGAAUCAGCAAUUAAAUCCAUAAAAAUGAAUGAUUUUCAACAAAUCUAAAACAGAGUGAAAGAAGAAAGAGAUAGGAAGGGAAUUACGUUCUUGACCAAUAUGAAGUUGGCGACGGCGACGGUGGCCACUACACCAGCGAUGAUAGACGUAGGACCUGUAAGGAGACUCCACUUCCGAUAAAUCAUUUUUCUUCUUCUUCUUCUUCUUCUUCUUCUUCUUCUUCCCAAAUUGAAUGAGAGGAACAAUAAGCACAAUUUUCGAUUUUUAGAAUAGAGUACUUCAAUUUUCUAUGUCAUAUAUCUUUUUCCCCAAAAUAAUAUUUUUAUUUUGUCAAAAAAAUAAAAUAAUAUUUUUUUAUCAUCUUUAAGCAAUUUUUACUUUUAAAAAAAUAAAUAAAUUACAUUUCUCUCCUUGAGAGAUGUUUAAAAUACACUACUCUCCCCUCUUAUGUUAAAAUAUAUAUUCUCCUCCCAUCUUAAGUAAAUUAUAAUCUCAUUUCUCUUCUUUGAAAGAUGUUUAAAUUACACUACCCUCCCCUCUUAUGUUAAAAUAUACACUCCUCUCUCCGCUUAUACAAAUUAUAAUUUUUUUUUUUAAGCAAAUGGCGUGCAGAGGGGGAACUCUAUGCAACGACCUAAAUAUAUUAAAAUGAAAAUAAAAGAUAAUACAUAAAAUCGGGGGGACAAAAACUAAAACUCAGUCAAACCACAUAGUCAGUCCUAAACGGGUAUACAGAUAAUCAAAAUACAAACAAAAGUGGCCAUUAAAACAAAAGCAAAUGCACUUUCAUCACAAAUACAAUCCAGCGAACCCGCGUGCGGAUGCGAAACCAAAUAGCAAAAAAGAAGUGGUGAGUGUGCAUUUACAACUUAAAAAGGCGAAUGAGCGACCGCCAACACAGACCAAUCACGUGCCACAACUCCCUGCCACUAACGACAGUAAGCAAGAGGCCCUUUCAAGCCAAACAGCGAUUGAAAAGAAACUUGAAUUUCAUUCCCUUAUCCUUUUAUAUUAAAAUCUACAUUUCUCACAUUUAAUAAAACUUCAUUUUAAUGUAAUCAAACUUUUAAUGCAUAUAUUUUAAUUACUAUUUUUUGCUCGCAUACAUCAUUAACAUAUAAUGUUAAAUGUUGUUAUAAAUUAUGAAACCGUACAAAAUAAAAUAAAAAUCUCGGAUAAAUUACUAAAGUCGAUUAAAACACAAUUUUAUAACAACAAUUUUUUAAUCGAAUUUAGUAAUUUAUUUGAGAUUUUUAUUUAUUUUGUAUAAUUUCAUAAUUUAUAACAACAUUUAACAUUAUAUAUUAAUGAUGUGGGCAAAAAAUAAUAAUUAAUAUAUAUGCAGAAGUUUGAUUACAUUAAAAUGAAGUUUUAUUAAAUGUGAGAAUGUAGGUUUUAAUAUAAGGGGGAUAAUGAAAUUCACGAUUCUUUUCAAGCGAGGGGAGUGUGAUUAUAAUUUGUAUAAGAGGGGAGGUGAGUGUAUAUUUUAACAAUAUAAGGGGAGGAUAUUGUAAUUUAUGCAUCUUUCAAGGGAGGAGAGUGAGAUUAUAAUUUGCAUAAGAGGGGAGGGGAGUGUGUAUUUUUUUUUGUUUUUGUUUUUCCCCACUAGUUGAAUCUGGUUCGAGGGUCNNNNNNNNNNNNNNNNNNNNNNNNNNNNNNNNNNNNNNNNNNNNNNNNNNNNNNNNNNNNNNNNNNNNNNNNNNNNNNNNNNNNNNNNNNNNNNNNNNNNNNNNNNNNNNNNNNNNNNNNNNNNNNNNNNNNNNNNNNNNNNNNNNNNNNNNNNNNNNNNNNNNNNACCGCGGUCCUCUCUACCAAGUUCAGCGCCAAUCACCACUGAACCAACUAACGAUUGGUAGGGGAGCGUAUAUUUUAACAUAAGAGAAUAGUAUAUUAUAUUUUAAGUAUCUCUCGGGAGAGGGGAAUUCAAUUUACUCUAAAAAAACUUUAAGCAAUUUUUCUUUGGAAUAGAAAUGGCUAAAACCCAAAGAAGAAAAUUAUAUAAUAAUCAAGACAACUCCAAUAAUAUUAGCCAUAAGAGAACAACUACUCACUCCAUUCUUAAUUAUAAGCAAAAGUUUUAUUUUUAGAUUUAUUGAAAUAGUAAUGUAAUCGGUCUACAUUAUAGUCCAAAUACAUAAAUUAUUCAAUGACUCUGAAAAAUUGACUUUUGCUUAUAAUUAAAAAUGGAGGAAUUAAUUUUAAGCAAUUUUAGUGGACAUUAAUUUUAAUCUUAAGAUAAAGAGUUUAAAGAUUAUAAGCAGACAAUGUAAUGAAAUUUUACACGGACAACCAAUCAAAAUCCAUGAAUUUGCCAUGUCAUAAAAAAAGUGGGGUUAAGUGGGCUGACAUGACGAAAAACAUUGUUGUGAUUAGUUAACAGUGUAAAAUUAGUUUACACUGUGAGAGCAUAUUCCUUCGUACUCCUUUUUCUCUAAGAUAAAUAUGUAGGGAAUUAAAAAAAAAAUGAUGAUAGAAAUAAAACACAAUGUAUAAAUGAUUAAUGAUUUGCAUUUUAUUAAUGGAUUUGUGUAACAUGUGCAAUAUUGCACAUGUUAAACUAAUAAAAAAUAGUAACUAUUUAAUGAAAAACAAUAAUUAUUUCAGUCAAAAUUAGAUGAAUAAAACUUGAUUUAAACCAACAAUUUAAUUAUCUCCAUGAGUACUAUUUAAGGAGAUAGUUUCUGAACAACUUUCCUUGUGACUCAUCCUCCGUUGGUGUGUCCCCGCCACUAUCUCAGGUAGCCUUAUCUCCGUUUAUCCACCGUAACCGUAAGAAUCUCCGAUAGCCAUACACGACUCUUUUUCUUUCAUUUUACUAACUUUUUUCUUGCAUUUCAGGAUGAUCCGUAACCGUAUUGAACUCGAAUAACUCCACCGUCUACAGCACCGUCAUUAUUGGUUAGUUAACUCUUCCAUUUCAUUUCUCUUAUCAAUUUUCAAACCCUAGAUUAAAUUACCGAUUUAAAUUGAUGAAUACUUUUGUUAGUUUCAUUUUUCUCUUCCAUGAACCCUAGUUCUCUUUAUGUUGUUCAAAUUAUUAUGAGAAUAAGACCUGAAAUCUUUAAUUAGAUGUGAAUAUGACUAAAUUUUGGAAUGUUGAAUUCCGUGUAUGGUUGGUUCUGCGGUGAGAAAAAUUGAUUUUGAGUUAAUUGAUUAUGUGAAGUUGAUUCUAGCUAAAAUUGAUUAGAAGGUAAUGUGAUUUAUGUUUGAAUACAUUCAUGUAAAUGUGAGUUGAACAAUAAAUUUGAGUGUUAAUUGAAAUUAGAAGCUACAAUUUCUAGCUUCAAGUAGAAUCAAUUAUGGAGCCAAAAUUAAUUCUAAUUGAGAGCAACCAAACAUGUUAAAAUCAAUUCUACCAAACGUACAUGUUUUCCUGAAUUUCCAAUUUUCAUUUUUGUUCGGUUAAAAAAACUUGAAAUUGAAUAUGAUUUGGGCAAACAAUCAUUUUGGUCCUUUAGGUGUAAUUCACUGUCAGAUUAGUCUCUGAAUGUAUUGAAAUUACAAAUGCAUCCCUAGCGUCUUUUUUGUUAGUAAUUAAUUUUAUGGACUAAAUUGACAAACAAAAAACACAUUUGAGGCCUAAAUUGACUAUAUAAAAAUAGAUUUGAGGACAAAAAUGACUAAUAAACAAGACAGUUGUGGAUGUGUUUGCAAUUUCGAUACACUCAAGACCAAUAUAACGAGUUACACUUGUAGGGAUCAAAAUGGUUGUUUGUUCAAUAUGACUUUUGUUGAACUAGAGUUAAAAUUAAGUUUUCCCCAAAAGUUUAGGAUAUACCUUAUUUUCCUACAUGUUAAAAUCAAAUUUGAAGGUUAAGAAGUAGGGAUAGUACUAAUAAUAUGUGUUGAUUAAUUUACUUCGAUUGAAAUAAGAACUACUCAUAUAUAUGUAUGUGUAUAUAUAUAAGCUACUAGAUUUAGUUAAACUUUUAUUAUUUCCUUUUCUUUCCUUAAUGGAGCACAGGGGGCUAAGAACUUUGUGCUGAAUUGCUGUGAGAAGUGAAGAUCAAGAGAAAUCCCAAGGUCGUUGGAGGUUUGCGUGCAUAAGCAGUUAGGGAGGGAACCUAUGGUUUCCUUUCGCGUGUUAGCAUAUAGCUUCCUUUCUUACUUAAUAGUUGCGUUGUUGUUUGAUGUUACUGGUUGGAAGAGUCUAUUUUUGAACAUGCUCGUAAUGUGCUUGGUGCGUUCUGGGUUUCACCCUAAAAGGCAAUUGAAGUUGAAAAUGAAGUUCACUUUUGAAAAGAGGAAGAACACAAAUGGAGAAGGAGAUAAUGAUAAUGAUGAUGACCAUGUCAACCUACAUCGUAGAGCAGCUGGUACACCCGAGCAGGCUGAUUGACUUCUUGAUCACUGCUACUGAUAAUGUUUUGCUUCUUUUGACUGCAUGAGAGGUAUCUUUUUGGGAUGGGGGUUAUAUUUUGAUGUACAUAUUUUGGAUUAGGCCUCAGGCAUUUUCUCUUAAUUGUAUGCAUUUAUCUCUUAUGAUUCACAUUGCACAGUGGAAGCAUCUGUGGGUACUCUAAACUCCUUUAAACACCGAUAAUAAAAAUCUUUUGAUCAAUGCUUAUAAACUUCCUCUGACUUUCAAAAUUUCUUGAUGAAUGAGUGUUGUCUAAAUUUUGAGAAAUUUCUUGUAUUGUAAAUUUGUGAAAUGUCUGCUGGCAGUAUUUGUGGAGGUAAUUGAGUUGAUUUUCAAUGUAGUUCUGUUUUAAACGUUUUAUGAGUCAAAUUUGUAAUUUUUUUGACGUCCAAUUUUUAGAUAUUGAUUAUAUGUCAAUUUUUUUGGUUAACUUAUAUCAAGUAGUUUAAAUAAAAGUGCAAGAGUGACUGAAAGAAGAAUUCAAAGAAAAGGAAUAAAGGGAUUUAUGGGUCUAAGCGUUUGCUUCAUCCAAUGUUCAUCUCUCCAAUGUGGCUGAAGUAUUGCCCUCAUAUUUGGGGUUAUUAUCUAAGAAUGGAGGGGGAGGUUUUAAUGUGAAAAUUGAAGCAGGGAUUUUAGCUUAUUGUGUUGAUGUUUCUUUUUAGUUUGAAUAAUUUAGUUUGUUUUUGUGGUUGGAUGCAUUAUUGAUGAAAUUAAUUAACCUUGAUGUUUUUUGUUUUAUGUAGUAUGAGUAUAAAGAUUGAGUAAUAGAAUACUAACUAGUACAUGUACCAAAGAAAAAAAAAAAGAAUACUAACUAGUACUCCCUUGAUGUACUCCCUCCGUCCCAUAAUAUAUGCAAAAAAAAAAUUUCACUUAUUAAGAAAAGUAAAAUAUAAUAAUUUCAAGGUUGACUUUUUGUGUGUUUGUUGAAAUAAGUUUCAUGGGAAGAUGUAAAAAUAGUUUUUAUUGGUUAUUGAUUAUGGGGAAAAGAAGAGAGAGAGUAAAUUAAAUAAAAGUUUAUCUUGAAAAUAAUAAAAGUUAGUUUUUUUUGCUUAUAAUUUGGGACAUGAAAAAAUGAUUUUUUUUGCUUAUAAUAUGGGACGGAGAGAGUAUACUUUUGAGUAUUUUUAAUCUUUUGUUGACUACCUGAUACUUACGUUUUACUACUUGAUACAUCGCUUGAUACAUUUUAUUUCAUCACAUACAAAAAUGAUUAGACACACUCCCUUGAUGUCAUCGCUUUCUUCUAGAAUCAAAUAAUAGAUGCCCCUCCAUAAAAGACAGAUAGGAUACCAUUACUGUAAUUAAACAACGUACUUAGAUGCCGAUUUUAAUCUUGGCCACACAUUUAAGAUCCAAAAGUUCCAAUUGUGUUGUACAAAUUUUAGUCAUAUUACAUUUCGACCAUACAUUUUAAAUCAGAUAGUAGUCUAGAUUAAUCAUUGUGUCAUGCAGUAUGCGUGUAAUUUAGAUCUAUAAAAGACUGUCUCCUAUGAAUGACUUAAAAUUUUGAAUACUACUAUUUCAUGGUGCCUUUAAAUUAUGCUUUCCACUAACUCCCACCUAACAGAACACCCAUUUGAAUUUUGAACAAAAAAACAAACAGAACACCCAAGUUGAUUAUUCUAAGUUAAUCAACCAAUGCCUACGCUUUAUAUAAAAUCUCACCAUUUUCCCCCAGACUCAAAUAACACUGACCAUUACAAAUUUGCUGCUUCAACCAGAAACACAAUACAAUAUACCAUUGCCGGUUUGCCGCCCUAACAGUCGACCUCUUUGGCAUUGACGCCUUUGAUGUUGAUGCCGAAUUCAAUAUCCCUCCAUAUGUUUUCUUUCCUUCACCAACCAUUUGUCUUGUCCUUUGCCUUUUAUGUUCCUCAACUAGACCAAGAGGUUCAAUGCGAGUUUAGAGACCUCAUUGAACCAGUUAACAUCCCCGGUUCAACCCCAAUUCAUGACAAGGACUUGUACCCGGUUCAAGAUCGAAAGGACGAUGCUUAUAAAUGAAUCCUCUACCACGCCAAGUGAUACAAGUUGGCUGAUGGUAUCAUAGAGAAUAGCUUCUUAGAACUUGAACCAAAUGUUAUUAAGUUGUUGCAAAACAAUGAACUAGGUUGACCACCAGUUUAUCCAGUUGGACCGUUUGUGAAAGAAGAUUCUACUCGAAAUAGGGUGGAUGGUGUUGAAGUUGAACAAUCUUUAAAAUGGUUAGAUGAGCAGCCACAAGCCCACAAGGUGGUGUGAUAUUUGUGUGUUUCGGUAGCGGUGGGCAAGGUUUUAAAUUGCGGUCGGCAUCCGUAAUUGCGGCCGCAGUAUUGCUGAUGCGGUAGCCACCACAACCGCAUCACGCCGCAAUUGCGGUGUGAUCUUAAUUCACGUGUACGGCCGUAUCGUAACCGCAUCAGAAGCCGCAUCAGAUGUUUUCGGCGAUGUUCGUUCAAAUUUUCUCACAAAAAAAUAAAAUUUAUGAACUUCAAAUCCUAAUUUGUGUCAAAUUAAUGAAAAAUCUUACUUUUAACAAUCUAUCAACCGGGUAUUUUCAAUACAUUAAAAUUAUUGUUUAUGGAAUAAACUAAGACUAUGUAAUGGUGGAUAAAUAGCGUAGUUACAUACUAGUUUCAUUUUAUAUAGCUUGUGAAAUUUCAAAAUGAUUUCACGCCGCAACAAUCGCAUUGCCGUUGCAGCAACCGCAAUGACUGCAUUCGCAACAACUGCAACCGCAUCCACGACCGCAACCUCAAUUUAAAACCUUGGCGGUGGGACUCUUUCAAGUGUUCAAAUUAAUGAACUUGCCUUUGGUUUAGAGAUGAGUGAUCAAAGAUUCUUAUGGGUUGUAAGGUGUCCAAAAGACAAAGUUGCAAAUGUUUCUAACUUCAUUGCUGAUAGUAAUGUCGAUCCUAUUGAUUUCUUACCAAAUGUUUUGUAGAAAGGACUAAAGAGAAGGGUUUAAUGGUUCCAUAUUGGGCUCCCCAAGCAAAGAUAUUGAGCCAUGGUUCGACCGGCGAAUUUUUGACUCAUUGUGGUUGGAACUCGGUGCUCGAGAGUGUUGUAAAUGGGGUGCUUUUGGUUGCAUAGCCGCUUUAUACGGAGCAAAAGAUGAAUGCUGUUUUGGUUAGUGAAGAGGUUAAAGUAGCUUCGAGGCCAAAGGUUGGAGAAUGGGUUGAUUGAAAGGCAAGAAAUUGCAAAUGUUGUGAAGAUUUUAAUGGAAGGUGAGGAAGGGAAAAAACUUGGAAAUAGAAUGAUCGAUCUCAAGGAGGCAGCUUCCAUAGCUCUAAAGGAAAAUGGGUCUUCAAUUAAGCAAAUACGUGAGUUAGCUCUUAAGUGGAAAGGCACAUGAACUGUAUCAAAUUGAAGUUGCUUUAGAUUUCUUGUAUAUAAUUGCUUUUCUUAAUUGAAAUAUUACGUAUUAAUUAACGGUAUUGCAUUACUAUGUUGGAGAUAAUUAAGGGGUAGGGGUNNNNNNNNNNNNNNNNNNNNNNNNNNNNNNNNNNNNNNNNNNNNNNNUAGGGGUAAAAUAUAUUAAUAUAUAAGAUGAAAUAAAUUAUCACUCUAAACUAUCCUUUUUUCUUUAAUUUAAUCUUUAAGCUAUAUAAAUGUAAGGUCAAAUAUACUUUUAAUCUAUCUAGAAAGUUAAUUGUUCUGGAAAACUUUCAAAUGCCCUUAUUUAAGCUGCUGCUGUCCAAAAGUAAGGACAAUUGGUGUCCAAAAUUUUUGUAACGAACUAAAACUACACAUUCAACCAAGCCACAUGAGCCAAUUGGGGAAUUGUGAGUGGAAAAAUGCUUUUUCAAUCUACCAUUUGCUAACAUAACCAAGUCGCAUGAGCCAUUUAUUUCAUUUUGAAUGGAAAAAUGUUUUUUUUAACUAAGUCAUCUAAGCCACUAACAUAUCCCACAUUUUCCCUCUCAUUGUGAAAUUCAAAUUUUAAAAUCAAAUGUUAAAAUUCAAUGCUUUAUUAUCUUCUCUCACCAACAUAAAUCAGAAACAAUUGAAUCUCUCAAUUUUCUUAUUCUCUCACAAAUUUCUCUCACAUUCAUCAUUUUAUUUAUGCCUUUUUUUUUUCUACUACUUUUUUAACUACCGCGCUACUUUCUUCUUAUUAUUCAAUAUUGUUCUUCAUGUUUCAAUGUUUUAUGUUUUGUUAAUUUUUUUCUAUUUUUCAAAAGAUGACAAAAUAGAAAAUCAUACUAACAAUCUAAUGUCUUUCUUGUAGAAUGAAUACCAGAUUUGAGUUAAAAAAUAGUGGCAUAUUUUGAAGAAACAAGUACACUGAAAAAUCAAAUACAUACCAAGAAAGAAAUUCACACGAUGGUUGGAAGAAAUAUAUGCUUAUUUUGAAGAAAGUAAGUGUAAAGAGAAGUACUGAUAAAAUUAUUUUAUUUACAUUAUUAUUAUUAUUAUUAUUAAAUAAGAAAUAAAUAAAUAUGUGAGACUUCACAAAUUUGAUAACGGUUAUUGUUGAAUCAUAAAAACAAAAAUGGUUUGUUUUUUGUUGUUAUAAUUGUAGUAUGGUCUUAUUAUUUCAAAAAUUCAAGUAACAAAAACCCAAAACUAUAAAAAAUAUUAAUGAUUAAAAGAAAAGUAUUUUUCUAUCCGUUUUCUAGAUCCAGAAAAAGAUAAAGUGCUCUAUUUUUUCUUUUUUUAUCUUCCACCAACUUAUUUUCUUCGCAAAGUUUUGAUAAUUUUUAAUUUUUUACGGAACAAAAAAAUGCAAGACAAUGAGAUGUGAGGAAAUAGAGACCCAAAAAAAAAAUUGUCUCGAAUAAAAAAUUCAAAAUAAUUAUCAUAUGUGAGACAAAUUCUUAUUAAUAAAAAUUUGAAAAAAUGAUUUUACACAGGAUAAAUUUUAACUGAUAUAUAAAUAUGUUCCAUGUAAUUGUUUCUUUCAAUUUAAAUAUUUAUAAUUGCAACCAAUUUUGAUUACCAAAUUAUAACUUAAAAAAAUAUCGUUGUAACAUUACGACCCGUGCGAUAACACUGGUCUAUUACUAGUUCUUAUAAAACUAUGAUGUUUUAAGUUAUUCUCUAUUAAAUUUUAAUAGUAUAUUUAGUCCUAUAUAAUAUUGCAAUUUAUAAAAAUAGUUUUCAUUUUAAAUUUUUUAAGCAAAUGGGGAGCAAAUGGUGAACUAACGACAAUACCUUAAAUAUAUAUAAAUAAAUACAAACAAUAACAAAAAGUGAAAGAGAACAUAGAUCAAAAUUUUCUUCAACAAGAAAAGUAAAAGAGUCGGGAGACUAAAGUCAAACCCAAAAAAGAGAAAAAAGCAACAACAUUAAUAAAAAGCUUAUCUUCCAUCAGUCGAUAUCUGUCGAUAGGUUUCCAUAAUUGCAAGAUUUUUUCGCACAAGUCCUUAGAGGAUAAAAAGCUUCUUCUGAAAUUUGGAUUAAAAGAGAGUUGCCUUUCAAACAAGCUUUUGAAGCUGAAUUAAAGAGAAAUCAACUUUGUUGAGGAGAGCAUGAGCAAAACUGCGAUUACAGAGAAAUCAACUUUGUUAAUGGUAAGAGUCUUGAUCCCCUUAAAUAUGUGGUAAGGAAUUUGAUUUCUAGCUCAUAUGAAGAAAAUUUGUCGGUAAGAGAGAACUUACCUUGUAUACCCCAUAUGUUCCUCGAUCGAGAUUAGUUAUCGCUAACUACAUGAAAACUUUAUAUAAAUAAAAGGAUUACACACGGAGUAAUAGUAUAGGAUUAAAUUGAUAGUUUAUAACCAAUUUUUUUUUUUUGGUUAAGAGUUUAUAACCAAUUUUAUUUGACUAAUAUAAGCAAAUAUUUUGCUGAAUAUAACAAUCACUUAUUUGUUCAAUUAUUUGGUGUUCCAUUAUUCAGCUUGCUAGAAUGAAUAUCUCAAUUUAUUUCCUUUCAUGUUUGAAAGUUCUCACCCUUAAUCUAAGAGUUUAAAGAACAUGCACUGUAAUUUACAUCGACAAUUAAUGAGAAUGGUUCAACCUUUCAUUUAUAUUAAAAAAGUGGAGUACGGUGAGAUGAUAUGACGAAAAAUAUGAUCGUAGUUAAUUAACCGUAUAAUUUACACCGUCAUUUCUCUCUAUAUCUAAUUCGUUUCUUUGCAUCAUGCAAGAGGAUAUUUUUCUUUACUACUAGUAUUGCCUUACACCGCAUCAUCGUUUCUUUCGAUAAAUCCAUUGUCAUUUGCAACACAUUACUAUUUGUUUUCUUUUGCUCUAGAUAAAUGAGGUGAACACAUAUCUUCGUGCAUGUAUGACAACUCUCUAGAGUGUGGAGUCGUACAAUAAUUGUUCUGUUCAAUUAUUUAUGGUUAUAUUUAGUCCCUUAAGUUUAUUUUAGGUUUUAAUUUGGUCUCUUAUGUUUAAAAAGUUUUAAGUUGGUUUCUUAUGUUAUUGAUUUCAACAUAAGUUGAUCAUUUUCGUUAAAUUUUAAGUUAAUUUUUCUAACUUUUUGUUAAAUUUUGAGUUAAUUUCUUCUAAAACUUUCACAUAGUACUCUACUAAGUGGUCCACGUACGCAAAUUCAUUAGAUAAGUCGACGAUUUAAAUAAAAUUUUUACGAAAAUGACCAAAUUGAAACUUUUUAAACAUAAGGGACCAAAUUAAAACAUAAAAUAAACAUAAGGACCAAAUAUGCAAUUAAGUCAUUAUUUAUUUGCUUACAAAUCAAACACCUAUUUAUCAUUUUUAAAUCUGAAUGAAAUUGUCCACAAGUAUAACUCAAUCAGGGACGGAUCUAGAAAUUAAUCACACGGGGGGUCGAAUUUCUUUUUUAACAAUAAAUAAUAGAGUUAAAUAUAUUUUUUAUCCUUAUAAAAUAACGAAUUUUUAUGUCUAGUCCUAUUAAAUUUUAACUGAAAAUAUCCUUUAAAAUAUUGUAGUUUGGUNNNNNNNNNNNNNNNNNNNNNNNNAAUUUUUUGAAGGACAAACUUAAAAACUCAUAAUUUUAUAAAGACUAAAAAUAUAUUUAACUCAAAAUUAUUAAAUAAAAUCACAAUAAUUUAUUUACAAGCACCUAAAACAAAAUUGGAUAAAUUAAGAGGUGUCAUUAGCAACUAUAUGCAUGUGGGAGGGGGGGGUUGAAGCCCCUGCUUGCCCCCCCUUCAGUCCGUCCCUGAACUCAAUUGAUAGGAAUAUUAUAUUUAAUAUAUAGGUUAGAGUUCGAACUCAAAAUCUCUCACUUAUUCAUCUCUCACUUAUUCAUCUCAAGAGGUGAAUUUUUAACGGGCGGAUAACUUACCAAAAAAAAAAUGUGAAUGUUUCAUAUCAUAUUUAUAGAUAGUCUCUUGGUCUGAAACAGCCCACGCCUUCACUCUUACCUCCUUUACUCCUUUCAUCAAUUCUCUCACCAACAAGCUGUGUCCAUCACAACUAAUACUAGUAUAGUACUAUAUGGCCAAACUCAAAUAGCAACGUACCUUUGCACCAACCUAAAACAAAGCAUAUAAAUUUCGAUAUCCUUCACUUCAUAUUAUCAUCAUCAAUUCAAUCUUCAAUAUGGAACACCAACAAUCCCUCACCACCCCAAACCAAGAGCUACUACCACCUCUAGUAGCAAUGUUUCCAACACCAGGAAUUGGACAUCUCAUUCCAAUGAUCGAAUUCGCCAAGCGACUCAACAUCCGCCACAACCUCCUCGUCACCUUCAUCAUUCCCAUCGACGGUCCACCCUCGAAGGCUCAAACCACCGUCCUCGCCUCCCUACCAUCCGGCAUUUCACACAUAUUCCUCCCUCCUGUUACCCUCUCCGACUUCCCACCUGACACCAAACCCGAAUCACUCAUGUCAAUCACCAUCUUUCGUUCUCUCCCUUCUCUCCAUCAAACUCUCAUCUCUCUCAUGACCUCCCACCGUCUCUCCGCCCUUCUCGUUGACCUCUUUAGUACAGACGCUUUUGACAUUGGUGUCGAACUCAACAUCCCUUCAUACCUCUACAUCCCUACUACUGCUAAUAACUUGUGCUUUGCCUUAUAUUUACCCCAACUCNNNNNNNNAAAUAGCUUUUUAGAGCUUGAACCGGAUGCUUUAAUGUUUUUACAAAAAAAUGAACCGCCGAUUUAUCCGGUUGGACCGUUGGUGAAUGAAGACUCUACUAAUAAUGGGUUUGGGUUUGAAGUUGAUUUUAAAUGGUUGGAUGAGCAGCCACGUGGAAGUGUUUUAUUUGUGUGUUUUGGUAGCGUUGGGACCCAUUCUAGUGCUCAAACGGAUGAACUAGCUUUUGGAUUGGAAAUGAGUGGCCAAAGAUUCUUAUGGGUUUUGAGAUGUCCUAAUGAUAAAGUUGCAAGUGAUUCUAAUUUCAUUGCUAAUAGUAAUGUUGAUCCUUUUGAUUUUUUACCAAAUGGUUUUAUAGAAAGAACUAAAAAUAGGGGUUUAGUGGUCCCAUAUUGGGCCCCACAAGCACAAAUUUUGAAACACGUAUCAAUUGGGGGAUUUGUGAGUCAUUGUGGUUGGAAUUCAACUCUUGAGAGUUUGGUUAAUGGCGUGCCUUUGAUUGCAUGGCCACUUUAUGCGGAGCAAAAGAUGAAUGCUGUUUUGUUAAGUGAAAAAGUUAAAGUGGCUAUUAGGCCAAAGAUUGGUGAGAAUGGGUUGGUUGAAAGGGAUGAAAUUGCAAGUAUUGUGAAGAGGUUGAUGGUAGGUGAGGAAGAGAAGAAGAUUCGUAAUAGAGUGAAUGAGCUCAAAGUUGCAGCUUCUAAUGCUCUAAAAGAAAAUGGGUCUUCAACAAAGAAGAUAUGUGAAUUGGCUCUCAAAUGGAAAGGGGUAACAAUGCCAAUUUGAAGUUCCCUUUUAUUUAUUAUUCGUUUCUUCAAUUUCUUCGUUUUACUUUUGUCACUAUUUUUGUAAGUUACUUGGUUAUGUCAUUUACUUUGUCAAUAGUAUAAUUUAUUAUUAGAUAAAGAUAUUGGCACCUUCUAAUGCUCUAAAGGAAAAUAGAUCUUCAACAAAGCAAAUAUGUGAAUCGGCUCUCAAAUAUAAAAGUUGCCUUUCGUUUAUUACUUUUUUUCUAAAUUUUUUCGUUUCGAUCGUGAGUUAAGUAAAGUCUGGACAAAAAUUAUUUCUAUUAGAAAUUAAACUCAGAUUAUCUUGAAUGAUUGGUCCUUGAAAAAGCUCAUUAACCACUUGAUUUUGUUCUUUUGUCACCAUCAUGAUCAUCUCUUUGUGUAAGUGUGAGUUAGAAGUUCAACUUUAAAAAAAAAUAUAAAUAAACUUAAUAUUUAGAAUGUGUUUAAUCUGUUAAAAAUUAAGAGAUUGGAUAUGACAACUCUAAUUUUAAUGUGUUUGACUUUAAAAUUGUUGAGACUAGACAAAUUGGAGGUGCAUAUUGCAGCCAGGGAAUUCUCACAUGAUGGCUUUAAAUCUGAAGGCCACGAUAGCACAAAAAGAAAAGAAAAACUAUAGGGGCGCAAUUUGGAUGUAUCUAGAGUUCAUAAAUAGCAUUUUUCACCAAAAAUAAGGAUUACCAUUUUUUAGAAAGAGAAAAAUACGUCCCAAGCAACUCAGAUAGCCGAAUUCAAAGAGUUUCUCACAUAAAAAGUUCUCGUUUUUAGUUCUCGUUUUAUUGUUGAAGGCUAUAACCUAGAGCACCAGAUAGAAACAAAGAGAGGAUUCAAAAAUAAUUCUUAAUCGCGUUUCUCACAUAAAAAAUUCUCGUUUUUAAUUCUUCUUGCUAAUUUAAUUAUUUCCCUUUUACUAUUUUACUCAAUUAAUCAGGAAAAUCCCCCUAAUUUAGUGUUUUAAUUCUAAGUAAUUAUAAAUUGUUUUAUUAAAAUUCACGAUCCCCAUUGAGACAAAUUUAUUUUAUUAUAUGAAUGAUUAAUUUAGUACACUUGUUAAAAACCAUCAUGCCUCACAAAAACACAAAACAAUAUUUUUGUUUCACGUACAAGUUCUCUAAAAAUUAAAUAUCAAAAUGAUUUUUUUUCUUCCAUCAAACAUCCUAUAAAGCAACAAGUUAUAAUUCAAUACUCCAUUCAGUCUCAAUUAUAAGCAGAAGAUUACUUUUUAGACUUACUGAAUAAAUAAUACAUUUUGUCUAUAUUAAUCUAUAUCUAUAUUAUAAACCAGAUAUAUUAGUUAUUCAAUAAAAAGUCAAAUGUUGCUUAUAAUUGAGACAUAAUGAAAUAUCUUACAAUGUCAUAAUACUUUUUGCAUAUCAAACAUACCCCUAAAGUUUUUGAGUGAAAAAAUGUGGUGUUUUAACCCACUUGUGGAUUGGCUCAACUUCUUGUAAUGAAUAUCUUCUUAAUAAUAGUGGUGGGACUGUAUUUUCCAUUAUAAAAUGAUUUUUUUUUGUCAAGUAGUAUAGUGACUAAAAAUUUCACCGUUAAUGUGGAUAAGUGCGAUGGUCGGACACAAAACCCAGACCACUCAUGUCAAUCACCACACAUGUUUUGGGGUGGUGAAAGAUUGUUGGUGUUCCAUAUUGGAUUGAAGAUUGAAUUAAUGAUAAUUAUGAAGUGAAGGGUAUCUAAAUUUAUGCUUGUCUUUUGGUUCGUGCAACGUUACUUUGCUAUUUGAGUUUGGCCCUACGAAACUAGUAGUAUUUAUUGGAGGUGAGAGUGAAUUUGUGGGAGAGUUCAGGCCAACAAAAAAGACUAUGAUGACGAUCUAGGAGGAUUUAUUUUGUAUAUUAUUAUUUUAGUUAGAUUUGAUUUUAUUAUAUUUUAGGUUGAUUUUUUAUUUUUAUAUUUUAUCUAGGUUAGUUAUUUUUAUAUUUUAGGUAGAUUUGUAAGUUUUAUUUAGCUAGGUUUGUUGUUUUUAUUUUUACAAUCUUUUAGGAGAUUUGUUAAUUUUAUUUUUCACUCCUAUUUAAGCUAAAUUAUUGUAGCUUUGAAGGCAACCUUUGGAUUCAAUAAAAAUACAGAGAUUUCUCUCAAGUUUGGUAGAUUCCAAAUUACUCCUUCGGGUGGAUUCCGGAAGUCUAGUGGAUUCUAGAUUAGUUACUAUUUCUGGUAGAUUCUAGAAAUCUGGUGGAUUCCAGAGUCUUAUCUAUCAAGUUUGUCACUUGCAAACAUGUGUUUAUUAUAGAACUAGCGCUUAUUUUUUCUUCACGCUUCCGUACUGCGUCAGAUGAGCAUCACGAGUCCACGACCCCACUAGCAAUUUCUUGCCUUUCCACAAAUCCAUUAAUAUUAAGUUAUUAAACAAGUCUUGCGGCUACGCAAUCAAGGGCUGUAGGAACAAACAACUCCAUUAAUUUAUACCACAAAACCUUUUUCUCUUGUCCUCUCAAUAAAUAGUUUUACAAGUCCGUGAGUUCUAACUAAUUGAUUGGACUAAAAAUUUCNNNNNNNNNNNNNNNNNNNNNNNNNNNNNNNNNNNNNNNNNNNNNNNNNNNNNNNNNCCCACAUUUUCCUAACACCGGACACAAAACCCGGACCACUCAUGUCAAUCACCAUCCUUCGCUCUCUCCCUUCUUUACAUCAAAAUAUCCUCUCUCUCUCAUGACCGUCUCUGCCCUUAUCGUUGACCUCUUUGGCACAGACGUCUUUGACACUAGCGCUGAACUCAACAUCCCAUCAUACCUCUACAUUCCUACUACUGCGAAUAACUUGUCCUUUGCCUGAGCUUAGGGACGGAGCUAGAAGGGGGACCAAUAGAGGCCACGGUCCCCCCUAAAUAUUUUUCAAUAUUUUUUUUAUAUACUACUAUAGUAUUAUAAUAUAUUAUUGGCUUAAUUUUACUUUUGGUCCUCCUAUUUAAUUUUAAUUUUUUUAAAAGGGAUUUCUUAUUUAAUUAAACUCAUAAAAAUGGUCCCUUUUUGUUAUUUAAAUUUUUGGCUCUAUUUUUAUACUUGGUGUAUAUUUGAUCCCAACAUAUGUUUUUCCAACUAAAAAUAGUAUUUUUGUACCAAAAAAUAUGAUUUAUUUCCCCAAUAAUAAAUUCAAUAAAAAAAUACUUUUUGAGAUUAGAACUCGCCUUUUUUGAUGUAAAAAGUCGCUAUUUUGAAGGCAAAGUGAAUAGUUUAAGACCAAAAUUACAAACAAAUAAAAAUAAAGGCCAAAAAAUUCAACUUAAAAAAAAUGGUCUAUAAAAUUCGAUUCACAAUAUAAGCUUUAAAUUUAUCUUAUAACUUCUUAUAUAUAUUGUGCUUUCAAAAUUUAGUUUUUUCUUUACUAACUUAUAUUUUUAAACUCGGCCCCCCUUAAACUAAAUUUCUGGCUUCGUCCCUGCCAAAGCCACUUAACAUUCGUGGAUGUUUUGCGGUUCACAGAAAAGAUAUAGCAGAUCAAGACCGAAACCACGAAGCCUACAAGUUUUUUCUCCACCAUGUGAAAAGAUACAAACUAGCUACGGGAAUUAUAGUAAAUAGUUUUCUAGAACUUGAACCAAAUGCUUUCAUGUUUUUACAAAAGAAUGAACCGACAGUUUAUUCGGUUGGACCAUUGGUGAAUGAAGGCUUUACUAAUAUUGAGUCGGAAUUUGAAUUUGGUUUUAAAUUGAAGAAAUACUUGUAUGGUCCUUAAUAUUUAGUCUCAAUAUAGUCACACACACAUAACAACAUAUAUUAUUUAAUUAUUUUUUCUUUAUACCUUUUUCUCAAUUAAUGUGUGUGACCAAAGAUGAAUGCCCUUUUGUUAAGUGAAAAGGUUAAAGUGGCUAUUAGACCAAAGGUUGGUGAGAAUGGGUUGGUUGAAAGGAAUGAGAUUGCAAGUAUUUUAAUUUGAAGAGGUUGAUGGUAGGUGAGGAAGAGAAGAAGAUUCGUAAUAGAAUGAAUGAGCUCAAAGAUGCAGUGCAGCUUCUAAUGCUUUAAAGGCAGAUGGGUCUUCAACAAAGCAAAUACGUGAAUUGGCUCUCAAAUGGAAAUGUGUAUCAACACCAAAUUGAA
rnacentral:lncRNA from 1 species